rnacentral:ncRNA from 1 species
GAAGGUAGAGGUUGCGUAAAUCAUUAGUAUUCCACAGGAUGUGGCAGACACAGAUGAUGGUGGAGGAAAGGGAGGCACGCCGAAAGGACACAUAUUCUGUGGAUGUGUGCUUGGGCGCAAGCUUAAUAGGCUUGUGACUGUCAUUCCGGUGUGGAAUGGGGAGCUAUC